CAGAGUUGCAAAACUCCCAACCAUUGUGAACCUACCUCACCGUUGCUUCGGCGGGUGGCCCGGGGCAACCCAGGCCACGCCGGCUCCCCUCUCCGGGGGCCCGGCAAGCCCGUCAGAGGACCGAAACCCUGUAAUUACUGGCCUCUCUGAGUAACUUAUACAAUAAGUCA
rnacentral:misc_RNA from 1 species